CCCUUAGACGUUCUGGGCCGCACGCGCGCUACACUGACCAGUGCAACAAGCAUCCGUCCUUGGCCGACAGGCUCGGGCAAUCUUUGAACGCUGGUCGUGAUGGGGAUAGACUUUUGCAAUUUUUGGUCUUCAACGAGGAAUUCCUAGUAAACGCAAGUCAUCAACUUGCAUUGAUUACGUCCCUGCCCUUUGUACACACCGCCCGUCGCUCCUACCGAUUGAAUGGUCCGGUGAAAAUUUCGGAUACCGGCAUUGCUGGCGGUUCGCCGCCGGCGACGCUGGUAGAAGAUCUUUAAACCUUAUCAUUUAGAGGAAGGAGAAGUCGUAACA
rnacentral:rRNA from 1 species